rnacentral:tRNA from 1 species
UAGGUUAUAGCUUAAAUAGCGUCUCAGUUACGUUGAGAAGAUCACUAAGUUUUAGUGUGACCUAA